rnacentral:lncRNA from 1 species
CAUCCUUUCUUCUGCAGGCAAGGUGACUUCUGCCAGCCCAGAGGCCUGAGGACUCCGACAGUGCUGCCAGGUGGCAUGUGGGGCCUCACAGCCCUUGUUGGAGAGGCCCAGCGAGCCGACCCCCGACCCCCGCCGCGAUGUUUACCGCAGCAGGACCGAAUGACCCAGUUUCCCCAGCGGGACAGCACAGCGCGGCCCGCACGGGAUCCGGCAUCCGCGUGUCUCUUCUGCCCCCUGCCGGCCGCAGUCAGUAGGCUCACCAGUUCCCGCAAUCCCAGGCGGGGUCCGCUGCGGGAAUUGCCUCUCAGGCCUGUAAAUGUUUGCAGAUGGAACUGAAUGAGUGAAUGUGUACAGUUCUUGGCUCUGGGACCUACAGCAGCCAAAGAAACAGGAACUAAAAAAUUUCGGGAAAAUCAUGAAUUCAGCCGAACUGGGCCUGGGCUCGCAGCCCGCCUAGGCUUUGCAGCCCUCCAGGGCUUGCUGCAUGCCCCUCCUGAGCCCUCCCUCACAGCCCGUUGCAUUCCUAGGAUGAACUAGACUUUUCCAGGCCCUGGUCAACUAGUUACACUUUCCUCCUUACACUUUCUGUGUUCCCACUGAGUGGCCCCAAGUCUCUGCUUGAUUGCCUCCAGUGACAGGGCCCUCACUUUCUGUCAGAGUAGGUUCCACUUUCUGAGGGAAAAGAAUAAGAACAUUCAUAAGAGUGCUCUUUUUCUUCUUGGAACCAAAUAUGUCACUUAACACUUCCACUCAGAAAUCUGCUAUGUUGACCCUGUGACAACCUUUCAGCUCCUUUAAGACAAGAGUCAUUCUUGAGACUUCUGUACCUCCAAAUAGAUGAGAUUUAUCUCUACAGAGGGAUCUGGAGAACCAAAGAGGUCUGGGAGAAUCAUAUAAUGAUCCAGCAGUGGUGGAAUUCUGAAAGGUGAAGUUCUCAUUAGUGCAAAGACCUUCUGAAAAGCAGCCGUGUGCAUACUCAUGGGAAGAGCCCUAACUGCUAGGAUGGGGGGAUUCUUUAAUUGCUAUUUACAAUGUUUUCAAUUUAGAAUUUACAAAGCUCUUUCAUAGGUAUUAUCUCAGCAAGUCAAGCUAUUUUCAUACUAAUCUUAGGGACGAGGAAAUUGAAGCCUCAGAGAGGAAAAUAUAUCACUUGUGAUUAGACAGGAAGUAAAAGGUAGCUGGCACCAAAACCUGAUCUUCUAAUCCCAAGGCUGCCAUUCUCACUACAAAAACAUUGACGCUUCUGCGUCUUGAGAAUGUAAAAACACAGAAAAAAAUAAAACAAAACAAGGUAGAGAGAAAGUAUUGAGCACUUGCUAUAUGCCAGACACUGUUCUAUGGGCUCACUAUGUUUUAACUUAGAGUUCAAAACAACAACCCAAAGUACGUGCUAUUAUUAUUCUUGCCAUUUAUUUUUCAGGGUUAGUAAAUAAAGAGUCCAUCCAGCACAGUAACCCAUGCAGUCCAGUCCAGAGCCCACGGUUCCCAGUGCUUGUUUGAGUCUGUGCACACAUCUUUGCUGGUCUCUCUCACUUACCUACCAAUGACCCUGAGGAGGAAGUUAAAGGAGAGCUCUCCCAGGUGAGAGUAGGAGACUCUCCCUCAAAGACCUGCUGGUGUGAUGGUCGAGGGCCUAGAGGCUGGCUCAAAUCCUGGCUCUGCCACUAUAUGGUUGAGUGACCAUGGACAAGAUCUUCAACCUCUUUUUCCCCCUUGGAGAAACCUCAUUGGGUUUCUAUGGGUUAUGAAUUAAUAUUUUUGAAAAACUUAGAGAAGUGAAUAUUUACAAUUAAAUCUGGACUCCUGUCUGUUGCAGGUAACUGGGGGAAACACUGGAGUGUGGGUUAAAGCAAGGGCCAUAACCAGUGGACACAUAAAGAAUGAAUCUUGGAGCCUAGGAAGAGGAGGGCCAGGCAGGGGUGGAGGAGAAAGGAAUGAAGAAAGGACUUGAAUGACUUUUGGUGAGAUCUGAAUUAUUUGUGGAGUCACAGUUUCUCUGAAUUAGAAAGAUCUUUCUGGAGAGUCUAAUGUAACCAGGCAGGUGAGCAAGGAAGAACCUGUGCCAGAGGCCUCAGGAGACCAAGAAUCCCCUGCUUUCCAAGACCUGGGGCACACUGUAUUAAAAUGAAUAACACUUAUAAUGGGGUGUUGGGGAAGGUUCUCUGGCCCCUUGAGGAAAUUCCACAGCAGGAGUAUAGGGCCCAGAAGCCUCUACAUCUGGCUUCCAUUUGACUUUAUGUUUUCUUCCCAGGGAUAAUACAAAUUUGCAGCAUAACUGAGUCCCAAACUAAUAGUGCACUUGUUACUGCUGUUGUCCUUGCUUCCCCAAUGUUGAAGAAUAACACCAAAGAAGCACGCCGAGGCAAGGUCAGAGUAGAAAUUAGAAGUUUAUUAAAGGACAGCAGAAAAGACUUCUCCCGGAGGAAGAAGGGGACCCAAGAGGUGGAAUCCGUGGAAGUGCUGUUGUCUCCCCUUUUUAUAGUUUUGGUGAUGGAAUGUAAGGGGGAAGGGUUGGGACACAGGUGGGCCAAAGAAGUAAUCUGGGCAGGAAGGACUUCAUUAACACUUCUUUGGGAUGGGCUAUCUCCAAAUCUGUUGGGGGCUGUUUCCUGGGUUCCAUUAACAUUUCUUUGGGGAGGACUUUGGCCUAGGGCCUUUCCAGGACUUCAUUAACAUUCCCUGAGUUGUCCUGAGUUUCUGGAAUCAUUAUCAGCAUGGCCUCCAUUUUAGAUUUCACUCGAUAUGAUAUUAGACCCGAUUUACCUAACUACACUGACUACCUAACUUUAAAUCUGGCUUCACACUGAUAAGAAUAACCCAUAUAUAUAAGGGAUUCCCAUGUGCUGGACGUGGUUCUGAACACUUGUGUUAACUUAUUCAGUUUUUUUUUUUUAAUCAUUGCUUUGUCAUUUGUAUUAUCCCCUGUUGAGAGCCACAGUUUAGUCGGAAUGACCCCUGGCAUUUUGCUAGAGGGAAUGGUUGAAAGGUGACCCUGCUCCAGGAUUAGGGCGGAUCCUGCUGCCUAGGGCGCCGCCUGCCCUCUACUUUGGAGUUCCUGUUGAGUUCUCGCGGGGUUCCGGGAGAAUUGGUGCGCGGAGCCCGGUGGAGUGUGUGUGUUCCUGGGAAGUGUGUGUAGAGUGCCAGAGAGAGUUCAGGAAUAAAAAAAGAGUUGCUUUUUGAACCUACAAGGCUUUGUGGCGGCUUGGUUAUUUGUGCCCAGCCAGACUGCGGCAAUCCCCCUUUACCCAGAAAGAAAUAUAUACACCAAGGUUCUAGC